rnacentral:rRNA from 1 species
AAACAACUCUCGACAACGGAUAUCCCGGCUCUCGCAUCGAUGAAGAACGUAGCGAAAUGCGAUACUUGGUGUGAAUUGCAGAAUCCCGUGAACCAUCGAGUCUUUGAACGCAAGUUGCGCCCGAAGCCAUUAGGCUGAGGGCACGUCUGCCUGGGUGUCACGC